rnacentral:rRNA from 1 species
CUCGUGUCGUGAGAUGUUGGGUUAAAGUCCCGCAACGAGCGCAACCCCUAUUGUUAGUUGCCAUCAUUCAGUUGGGCACUCUAGCGAGACUGCGGUAAUAAACCGGAGGAAGGUGGGGAUGACGUCAAAUCAUCAUGCCCCUUAUGACCUGGGCUACACACGUGCUACAAUGGUUGGUACAACGAGUUGCGAGUCGGUGACGGCAAGCUAAUCUCUUAAAGCCAAUCUCAGUUCGGAUUGUAGGCUGCAACUCGCCUACA